AAUUUUGUUCUGGUUCCAAAUUUACGAUACGUUUAAUCUAAUGGAAUUUUAGGACCCAUCCAGUUACGAAACUUUUUUGGCUAGGAAACUAGGCAAGAGAAAACGUAUUACCUAGGGCUAAGGUGGUGCCAGCUGCUGCGGUCAUACUACCCUAGGAAGUAAAUAGGCAUUGUAUUAUAUUAUAUAUUAAUUGUACCCUAAGGUGAAAUUUCCAUACUAUAUUUCUAAAUAUAUAAUAAUUUUUAAUAAAUGCUUAAAACAAACAAGGAUUAGAUACCCUUCUAUGUGGCACUAUUUUUAUAUACAGGGCAUUAAAGUAAAGGCCUAAACCCAAAGAACAUGGCGGUAGUUUUAACUAUUAGGGGAACUUACCAAAUAAAUGAUAAUCAACAAGUUAAGUUACUUAAAAUCAAAUUUUGUAUGCCGUCGUCUUCAGGAUAAAUAAAAUAUUUAACCACUAAACUAUUGGGGUAAAGACAGAUCAAGGUGCAGAACAUUUUUAAGAUUAGGCGAGUUACAAUAAAAAAUCACUUCUAAACCCAACAGUAAUUUAUGGUGUAUUAGUUGGACUUAAAAGUAAACCAUAAUAUAAAUAAGGGUUGAAUACUAGUAAAACUGUGU
rnacentral:ncRNA from 1 species